rnacentral:lncRNA from 1 species
AUGAGUGUUCUCUUUUGUGUGCGCACAAACAGCCGAGCGCGGGGAGGUCGGGCCCGGGGUCACGCGGCUCCGGGCUGCAGCUGCCGCCGUGGGGCGGGGGGUCCCGGGCGGCCACCGGGCGUCGCGGCCGCCUGCGGCAUCAGCAUUCCGGCGGCGCGGUCGGCCGCUGUCCUCGCGCGACCCCAGCCCGUCCAGAGCGCGCCCCGGCACCAACCCUCGGGGCGAGGCGAGCGCAGCCCCCGCGGGCCAGCAAGGCGUGCUGAUGGACCAGACCUGCGGGAGCUAACUCGACAGGCCUCCAGCUGCCAGAGAUUUGAGAUGCGACAGAGGAACACAGUCUCUGACCCCAGCAAUUAG